rnacentral:lncRNA from 1 species
AAGUGGGGCUAAGAAUAGCACAUUCCAAUGCACAACCUUUCGCAACACAUUCACUAGCAUUCAUUGUCCGCCUAGGCUCCUUACCAAAGAACUCCGUCAAAAUUUUCAUUAUUGCAGGUACACGGGACCCCGAACCAACAACCUCAACAGCAUAUAUAUUUUCUACAGUCAGCCCUGCCUCUGAAAGAGCUUUCUCCAACGGCUUCUUAACUCGCUCCAGUAUCGGAAUGCUAAUUUGUUCAAACUCGUCUCUUUUGAUGAAGCCUCUGACAUCCUUCUCGUCCAUCAAGCACUCUAUAUUCAAAGGCGCCUCUGGAUUUGCACUGAGAACCUUCUUCAGUUUCUCACAUGCAGCACGAAGCCUAAGGGAGGCCCUUGCAUUUUGGUAAACAUCAAUCUUGUAUUCGGUCUUGAAUUUUUCAGCAAAGUUUUGAAACAGCACUUCGUCAAAAUCUCUCCCACCAAGUGACCGAUCAAACGCAUGGGCUAAUAUUUUCAGUUGGCCUUUCUUUAAACCAGCUAUACAUACUUGCAUACUAGCAUGACCAAUAUCUACAAAGGCAACAUUCAGCUGGUCAUUCUCCGGCAAAUCAGUCUUGUAAAUACCAUAUGCAAGAGCAGUAGCUGUAGUUUCAUGAAUGAGUCUAAGUGGGUGCAACCCUGCAAUCGUAGCAGCAUCUAGAACAGCACGCCUUUGAAGAUCAGUGAAAUAAAUAGGAAUCCCAAUGCAGCAAUCAACCACAGCGGCAUUCAGAUUCUUCUCCGCUAUACUUUUCAGAUCUGAGAAGACCAUUCCCAAUACUUGGGUUGGUGUAAAGCUUCUCAUUUCUCCAAGAUAUUGAGCAUUAAUUAAUGGAUACCCAUCAGGACCUUCAGUUACAGAAAAAGGGAGUGACUUGAUAUCCCGCUGCAGUUCAGGAUCCGAAAACUGGCGUCCAAUCAGCCGCUUAAUCUGAGAAAUUGUGUUUUUUGGGUUCAUCAUACUUGAAGCGGCACCAGCUGUUCCAAGGAAACGUUGCUUUUCACCGAAGCAUACAAUAGCAGGAGUCUCACGUUUAGAUUCAUCAUUCAGUACAACAUCAAUCCCCCGUUGCCUUGCAACAGCAACAACACCACUCUCAUUCCCAAAAUCAAAACCAACAACGCUCAUCUUCCCUAUGGUUCAACACAAAGACCAACAACCAAAAUCAAAAUAAAUAAAUUGCUCAUAAAGUAAUAGCAUCUCUAAAAAACUAUACCCAUACAUUAAAGCCUUAUCACAAUCAAAAACUGUCUUGAGACACUUAAAAGCAAGUCUAAUUCAGGAAAAAAAUAUAUGCAGUAUAACCUAGGCAUGCAUCCUAGGUGUAGCUCAGGUUUUUGUUAAAUUCAAACAACAAACACCACAGUAAAUAAAAGAAUUGAGUCAAAACCUAAUUAGUCUCAAAAAUAAAAACACGUCUUAAUAAAAACCAGAAUAGUAGAUACGAUGUUCCAACAUUCUAUCAGAAAUUUAUAUAUUAAACAUUCUACUAAAAUUUAAAUUAAGCGUCAGAGAAAUCAUCAUUCCAACAUCGUAUAGACCCGGGAGAAAUUUAUCAUCAUACAAACAUUAUAUAGACCCAUUCAACACGGACAUAAUUAAGUUGAGAUCAUCAUAAAUAACUAUAAUGGCCAAAAACAGUAUGAACGAUCUAGAAACGCACACGUAAUCAUUAUCAACGAAAUAGUUAACGUCCCAAAACUAAAACAGUCCACUCAUUUAAAACCGCUGCCAACCAACUUCGUGGGAACACUCAGAAUCAUUCAAAAAUCCUAUCCAAGCAUUCAAAGCCAGACUACAACCGACAAAACAUAAUGCAGCCCAACCUCCAAACCUCCGCAUACGAACAACACACACAAACAAAUAUUGACUUCCAGAAUUGAUCCCACACACUCCCACCGCAGUCAAUUUCCAAAUUCAGCUAAACGAUAAACAAACACAAUGCAUCCAAUAUCAACAACACCCUAACAAAACCCUUAAACUCAAUAGUUAAUGUCCCAAAAUUAAAACAGUCCACUCAUUUAAAACCGCUGCUAACCAACUUCGCGGGAAAACUCAGAAUCAUUCAAAAAUCCUAUCCAUGCAUUCAAAGCCAGACUAACACCGACAAAACAUAACGCAGCCCAACCUCCAAACCUCCGCAUACGAACAACACAUACAAACAAAAAUUGACUUCCCAGAAUUGAUCCCACACACUCCCACCGCAGUCAAUUUCCAAAUUCAGCUACACGAUAAACCAACACAAUGCAUCCAAUAUCAACAACACCCGAACAAAACCCUAAAACUCAAUCAUAUAGACAUAAAGCUCCAAACUUUACCACCAAUAUCAAUAUCAUAAAGAGUAAUCACACGAAAUCAACAACCACCAACACAAUUUUACAUAGAUUACGGGAAAAAUCUAAAACAAAGCUAAAGUUUCAAUCUUCAAAUCAACAUCAAAAAACACUAAUUAACAUAGAACCAAGAUCAGUCAACACAACUCCACAUAAAUCACAGUAAUUAACCGAGAAUUAAGCAAAAGUUUCAAUCUUUACAUCAAAAUAUCAUACAAAAACAGUAACAAACACAGAAUCAACAUCAAUCAACACAACUCCACUUACAAUACAGUAAUUCAUAGUAAACUAAACGAAUUACAGAUCUGAAAAUUGAGAAUUAACAAAACAAAGUGAGUAAAGAUCGUACCUUUAGGAUGAUCACUUUCACGGAGUAGUCAAAUUAGUGUGUGCGUUGUGUUCUUUGUGUAUGAAAUAUAAGAGGGGGCAAAAAAAAAAUGAAGGGUUUUAAUAUGUAACGGGAGAAGUGUAGAGGCCUAGAGGGGUCUCGAGCUUGUAAGCUCUAGAAUGUUCCGUAUUUUGAGUUUGAGUUGGGCUAUUUGGUUAAUUUCUCUUAAACCCUGGUGUUCUUGUUCUAAUUUUUGGUGCUUUCACUAAUUUGAAAUUUAUAUUUUAGUGUAAGAAUAUAUGUAUUGAAAUAUGUAUAGUAGAUUUGUAAUUUAUAAUUGAAAGUGAUAUAAAUGAUUAAAUUAAUUAUUACAUUUGAAUACGUUAAAUCCGAAUUCAACUUCUAACAUAAAUAUAUGAUGUUUUAUAUUCGAAUUUUGAGUUAACAAAUGUCAGAAAUCAAUAUACUUAUAUAAAGGAGAAGCGGGGGGCGUGUAGGUGGCGCCUCUCACAUCGCUCCGUUCUAUUUUUCUAAUUUUCUGGAAUUUUUGGAUGAAAAAUAUCAAAAAAUUAGAAUUACCUUUUUUAGUUUCGGGUAUAUUAUAAGCAAAUUUCAGAAUCUGAUUUUGUUAUAGAUUAUUUAUGGAAUAAAGUAGCUUGAAAGUUUUAAUCUGAUUUUGUUUCAGAUUAUUUAAUUAAAUUAUGGGAAAGACAGAUUAUUUAUGGAAUAUAAUAGCUUGAAAUUUUUAAUCUGAUUUUGUUCAGAUUAUUUAAUUAUGAGAAAGAGUAGCAAACAAGUCUCUCUACACCUAUAAAUACACGUAUAUAUCGUAGGGUUUUGGAUCAUCUAAACACAACCUCCUCUCUCAAUACCACAAACCUACCUGAUAGUUCUCUUACUCGAUUUUUAAAGGAGAAGCGAGAGGCGUGUAGUUGGCGCCUCUCACAUCGCUCCGUUCUAUUUUUCUAAUUUUUUGAAAUUUUUGGAUGAAGGCGUGAAAUUUUUGAAAUUUUUGGAUGAAGGAGAAGCGAGAGGCGUGUAUUUUGGGUGACAAUGUAAGAACAUGAUUACUUUCAAAAAAAAAAUAAAUAAAUUAAGAUUCGUCAUGUUUUAAAUUGUUAAUUACGUGUAUAAAUUUAUUUUUAUUUUUUCACCAUGAAUUAUAGUCCAAUUUUGCAAUUUUAUAUAUUAGUAUUGGUAUUACAUUAAAAUUUUUAUAAUAUAAAUUUAUUUUAUUCUACAAAUCUUAACUUUGAAACAUUAAUAUACUUUUUAUAAACAGCCAUAAAAUUAUUUUAUUCUACAAAUAUUAAUAUUGAAUCAUUAAUAUAAUUUUUAUAGACCGCCGCAACGCGCGGCUUCUCCACUAGUUAUGUAAUAUAAAAAUAUCAUGGACAUUUAAAGUAUAAAUUUUAAUAUUUCAGGUAUAUUAUAUCAUAUAUGUCAUGGAUGGAAUCAAAUUUAUUUUUAGAAGAAAAAUAAUUUUGAGUUUUAGAUUGAGUUUAAAAUCGUGUUUCAAAUAUAUAAUAUUUCAGUGAUAAACUUUAUAUUUCCGAUAGUCUAAUUUUAUUUUUAACAAAUUUUAAUUAAAAUUCGUCAAAGCGUAUAUUUUUUGAAUAAAAUAAAAUAACAUCGCUAUUAAUUAAAAUGAAAAACAUCACCUUCACGUUGUAUUCUACACACGUCAUCGCUAAUUCAACAUUAUUAGUCUAUCAAGUAUGACUGCAACACAUCAUCAUUAAUUAUCCCAAAUAAGAUAUUAUAGAUGUUAAAUAUAUGGAUAAAUUGAGUUACACAUUCAUAACAUGGAUAUUAAAAAUGAUAUUUUCAUUAUCAAUUUAAAAAUUAUAUUUUUAUUUUUAUUACAAAUAUAUAAAACUUGUGAUAGUUAUAUCAUUUUUCAGAUCAAAUAUAAGAUUAUAUAAUAUAUUCGAAUCAAGUUUGAGAAUUUUGUACUAAUUAUAAAUAUUAAUAUUCCACGGUUAAUUUAACGUGUGAAUGAUCUAAUUUCAAGUUUUGGAUCGAAUACUCGUGUUUCAAAUAAAUUAAACUUCACGUAUAGAAAUUAUCUUGAUAGUGGAAUCACAUUUCCAUAUUUAUUGUCACAAAUUCAUUUCCGUUCUUAUUUACAAAGAUCGGCAAGUUUUUGAUCCGAUACAUUUCCGAACCCGGUGAUGUUGAGAUUAGAAAGGAUCUCACACAGACACAAAUUCCAGGUGUAUCAUACAUAACAAGCAUAAUAAUAGUAGAAAGAACAUUAACAUAGUCUCAUAUCCACCUCUAGCAAUCUUUUUGAAACCAUUUUGUCCUAAUCAGAAAUAAAUCAACAAACAAACAAAUUAAUAAAUAAAUGCCAGACUGCAAGCAGUUCAUCACUUAUGAACCUUUGUGUGAAAGUUGAUUCUUCAUAGGGGUAGACCAACCAUGAGCAUAAGGAAAUAUUUUGAUAACAAACAAGCUUCUGAUAUAAGUUUUCUAUAGUUCCCAGGAAAAUGGAAGUUCACCCCGAGAUAAUUUUCCCACAAAUUGUUUCAGAAAAGUGUUUCCGAAGACCUGUAUUAUAGCAUACAGGAGUAACAGAAUUUGCUAAACCAUCUUAAAUAAGAACGGCUUUAUAAACCAACAUACAGAAACAAAGUCGCUCUCAUUCUCCACCCCUCUUAAUCUCAGAAUAAUUCUACAUCACGUUGACUGAUCUAUAAGUAAAGAACAAAAACUCCAGUUUAUGCUGCACUCUCGGGUUUUUCAGUUUCCAUUGGCUCUUCGGAAGCCAAUGGAACCUCGGUGCCAGGUGUAUUCUCACUAGCAUCUUUGUUGAGAUCACCAAAAUUUUCUGCACCAUGAGACUGGUCACUGCUUGGAGAAGAAACUUCAGGUGCGGCUGGCUUAGCUGCCUUUGGUUUUGGUUUCGUCAUUAUCGGUCUGCAGAACCUGUUCAUGCAAAGGCAAUUAAUAAUAAUACGAUUAAAAGGAAUACUUUAGCGAGAAACAGGAACAUAAAUAUCCAUAUGUAGAGCCCUAGUAAUCCUCAAAUUUUUUAAGACCACAAAGGAUAUGUUCAGCUAAAACAGUGCAUAAGAACAUCUUGCAAGCAACAUCCAGUUGUAUAAUUGUCAAUGAGAUAUUAUUAAUGUAUAUACAUAUUCCCAGACCCAAGAAAUUAGUAACACUACUAGACCAUCCUUGAGACGUAAAUCAAAACAACACACGAUAUUCGGAGUUUGAUAGAACAGUAAAAGAAACAAUUCUGUAGUACAUCCUACAUAAGCAAACAUUUACCUGUCAAGAGCUUCAGCUUUCUUUUUCAAAUCAGCUGACAAGAGAACUGGAGUGGCAUGUUUUGGUAAUGAAUCUUGGUGCUGCUUUUUCUCCUUUAACCAAGCUUCAGCAUCCACACAUUCCUUCAAAACCUACACAUCCAGGCAUUUAAGAGCUACGGUGAAUUACAAUUCAUCUUAAUAACAAGUAUGAGAAAAGAAUAUCUGACACUUCGCUACCUUCUCCUUCUCAGCAAUAUCAAUGUGAUCAAACUUGGAGUCAGAUGACAUUACUGCCUCUCUGUAGCUAUUGAUGCAAUAAACUAGUUCAUCAACCACAGAUCCCCUCUCCAAGUGUUCCUUGUAGCGCAGCUCAACAGGAUCACCACGCUGCAAGUACCUUCAGUCAAUUGGAAUACAUAGACAAUAAUAAUCACAAAAACAAAUUUGGCACAGCUACCAACCUUCUUCAGUUCUUCAAGCUUGGCAACAUAUACACCCUUGGUCUCAUCCUCACCAUCUUCAUACAACCAAUCUUCAACCUGUUGAAGGAUGGCUAUGAACUCCUCUCUCUCCGGAUCAGUAACAAAGUCAUGAUAUUUGUCAUGUAGCUGGGAGAAAACACAGAUGUAAGACAAAAUACUCAAAUAAUCAUGACGAAUAGUUUAAUGUUAAACUAAAGCAAACCUUGUUUCUCAUGUCAUAAACAUAAGCCUCCACAGCAUUCUUUUUGUCUUUGGUUUCUUCCAUUACUCUAUCUUGCAAUGCCAUUUCGAAUUCCUUCUCCACUGCUUUCUGCACGUCUGCAUGUGGCAUUCCCCCGUAAACUAGCUCGGUCACCGGUAUGUCGGUCUUUUUCACCUUCUUCUUUGAAACCUCAACCUACAUUAAAAUAUAAUAAUAAAUCAUACAGGCAGGACACAAUAUAUUUAAUUGAGAGAAUAUAUUUAAUUGAGAGGCAGGACACAAUAUAUUUAAUUGAGAGAAUAUGCAGAAUGUUAGGAAUAUAAAUUAGAAAGUAAAGGGCAUAGGCUGUAGAAGAACAAAAUUGAUGUUACCAAGCACAGCACCAUAAAAAACAGUUAUUUAUGUGCAAAGCAUCUUGCUAAACAUUCCAAAGAAUUUGUCUGACCUUGGAUUCGGUUUCCAUUUGGACAGGGACGUCUCCUUGAGCUGCAUUCGCAGAGCCAGGAGCAGCACUCUUUGCAUCUUCCAUAUCCACAUCAUUCUCAGUACCACUUGAAAGAGCCGGUGCAGGUGGAACUUCAUCUGUAUCCAUCUUUGUAGUCUCUUUCACGACUGGAAUCUCAACUUCCUCUUCUUCAAGUAGCUGAAAUUUUUUUUGAGGAAUAAAACACAAUGGAUAUUAGGAGAACUCAAGUACAAAACAUACAAACAAAAGACAUGCCAAUAGUCAGGAAGACACUUCCAUGCUUUUCUCAUCAAAUUAAAAUGUAACAACAAAGCUGGCUAGCUAUCAGUAAAACUUACAGUUGCCGACUCAAUGGACACAACACCAUGUAGAUUUAGACGAACUUUUACUUUCACUUUUGCUCGUUCACUUUUUGUUGACUGAAAAGGGCCAAUCUGUCGAAAACAAUGAUAAUAAUAACAGUAAGAGAACAGGAAUGUCACAUCAACCAUAGACUACUUAUGUGGAUUAACUUGUUUCUAGACAUCAGAUGCUGCAGUCUCAGAACCUGAAUAAUUUCCAUACCGUGUAUGUGCUGAUCAUUGCAGGUGCUUGAACUUCAUUUACAUCAGCAUAGUGUACAUCUACUGUAAAUGUUCCAGACCUGAAGAAUGUCAGGGCCUUCACACUAGGUAUCGAAUUUCCUUUUGGAAAAACAAUAGUACUCUGUUGAUUGUCCGCUCCAUUCUGAGCAUCUGGAGCAGUGCCUUUCCAUGACAAAGCAAUAGUGAAUGGGAAGCUCUCAUUGACCUUCAAAACCAAAAAUGAAAAUAAAAAAAGACUCAUAAUUACAAAUUUAAGAAGAAUAACAAGAAAUCAAGUUUUAAAUCAUGGUGAAUCAGUUCAAUAUAUAUCAAACAAAAAGCAGAAAAACAACCCUCGAAUGAGGUGAAAAACAAAUCCCUCCCCUGGACAAGAAAAAUGUCUACCUGGAAUUCUCUCACUUUAAAAGUGGGGCUAAGAAUAGCACAUUCCAAUGCACAACCUUUCGCAACACAUUCACUAGCGUUCAUUGUCCGCCUAGGCUCCUUACCAAAGAACUCCGUCAAAAUCUUCAUUAUUGCAGGUACACGGGACCCUGAACCAACCACCUCAACAGCAUAUAUAUUUUCUACAGUCAGCCCUGCCUCUGAAAGAGCUUUCUCCAACGGCUUCUUAACUCGCUCCAGUAUCGGAAUGCUAAUUUGUUC